GAAUUGACGGGGGCCCGCACAAGCGUUGGAGCAUGUGGUCUAAUUCGAAGCAACGCGCAGAACCUUACCUGGGCUUGAAAUCCCCGGACCGCCAUGGAAACAUGGUUUCCUCUUCGGAGGCCGGGUGACAGGUGCUGCAUGGCUGUCGUCAGCUCGUGUCGUGAGAUGUUGGGUUAAGUCCCGCAACGAGCGCAACCAUUGUCGUUAGUUGCCAUCAUUAAGUUGGGCACUCUAGCGAGACUGCCGGUGUCAAACCGGACCACGGUGGGCAUGACGUCAAGUCAUCAUGGCCCUUAUGUCCAGGGCUACACACGUGCUACAAUGGCAGGUACAAAGAGCAGCGAACUCGCGAGGGCAAGCGAAUCUCAAAAAGCCUGUCUCAGUACGGAUUGGAGUCUGCAACUCGACUCCAUGAAGGCGGAAUCGCUAGUAAUCGCGGAUCAGCACUCCCACUGGUGAUACGUUCCCGGGCAUUGUACACACAGCCCGUCACACCAUGGGAGUG
rnacentral:rRNA from 1 species